AGGAUGGAAGCGGAUAAGGCAUUUUAAAAAGACAAUCCUAAACUUCACACUAUGACUGCAACAUCGAGUGUGUUCACACCAGAAGAUUCUGCCUCCGCUCUAGUGCAUCGCUAGGUGGGUGGUUCCCUACUCCCAGACUGUGGAUCCCCUGGAGGGCCAAAGUCUAGAGAAGAAACUCAACUCAAGCUUCUGGAAGGCGAGGGUAGGAGGCACAGAAAGCAGGAAACCGCCGAAGGCAGGUUGAACGUGGAAGAUGGGGGCCGAAGGACCUCACAGACAGCAUCACUAAGGGGUUCUUUUCAAAGACGGACUGGGGUUUUCUGGCCUUGGCUGAGGAUCACGGAACAGUCGACAGGCCAGGGGCUCUCCUACCUGACCCGGCAGCCACAGGACAACCUCGAGCACUAUUUGGGAAAGUGAGAAGGCUGAGUCUAAGGGGAGGUGAAGUCAGGAUAAGGUUCUGAGGGUGUGAAAAUCCACACCCAGUGGUUCCGGCCCUCUGGCUGCGUCCAGGGCACCAAGAGCAAGUGUGUCAACAUUUGCCCUGAAGCUCACAUCUACAGCUGGGGGACACCUGCUGGCCCUUGGCCCCCACCUGUCAGGAAAGGUCACUAGUCCUCAGGGGGGAUAGCCUGCUCUGGUCACCAGUCGGAGGGUUGGCAGAACUUUGAACAGCUGGGGAUUGGCACUCCCUGCCCAGAGCACUUCCUUCCCUGCUGCCCGCCUCUGGAGGGGGCUUCCAGAGACAGAAGGCACCUGGUGCUCAUUCCAGAGCCCACUGUCCGGGGCUGUAGACCCACAGGUUAACCCUCUGGGGCCACAGGCCUGGAUUCCUUGAUAGGCGAGCUCUCAAGCGCGGGGUAGGAAUUCUGCCAGAGCACCUCUUCCAGAGCAUGGCUGUGAGGAUUAGACCUGAAAAGGCCUUAGAACGGUGCCUGAAAUUAUGAUGCUCUUACAGGAGAAGCCAACAGAACCAAGCAAGGAAUAAGUGGAUGUGGAGAGGAGUGGGUGGGCCGG
rnacentral:lncRNA from 1 species